rnacentral:rRNA from 1 species
UGGGGAAUAUUGCACAAUGGGCGAAAGCCUGAUGCAGCAACGCCGCGUGAGUGAUGAAGGUCUUCGGAUUGUAAAGCUCUGUCUUUUGGGACGAUAAUGACGGUACCAAAGGAGGAAGCCACGGCUAACUACGUGCCAGCAGCCGCGGUAAUACGUAGGUGGCGAGCGUUGUCCGGAUUUACUGGGCGUAAAGGGUGCGUAGGCGGAUGUUUAAGUGAGAUGUGAAAUACCCGGGCUUAACUUGGGUGCUGCAUUUCAAACUGGAUAUCUAGAGUGCAGGAGAGGAGAAUGGAAUUCCUAGUGUAGCGGUGAAAUGCGUANAGAUUAGGAAGAACACCAGUGGCGAAGGCGAUUCUCUGGACUGUAACUGACGCUGAGGCACGAAAGCGUGGGUAGCAAACAGGAUUAGAUACCCUGGUAGUCCACGC